rnacentral:rRNA from 1 species
GAUGAACGCUGGCGGCGUGCCUAAUACAUGCAAGUCGAGCGAACAGACGAGGAGCUUGCUCCUCUGACGUUAGCGGCGCACGGGUGAGUAACACGUGGAUAACCUACCUAUAAGACUGGGAUAACUUCGGGAAACCGGAGCUAAUACCGGAUAAUAUAUUGAACCGCAUGGUUCAAUAGUGAAAGACGGUUUUGCUGUCACUUAUAGAUGGAUCCGCGCCGCAUUAGCUAGUUGGUAAGGUAACGGCUUACCAAGGCAACGAUGCGUAGCCGACCUGAGAGGGUGAUCGGCCACACUGGAACUGAGACACGGUCCAGACUCCUACGGGAGGCAGCAGUAGGGAAUCUUCCGCAAUGGGCGAAAGCCUGACGGAGCAACGCCGCGUGAGUGAUGAAGGUCUUCGGAUCGUAAAACUCUGUUAUUAGGGAAGAACAAAUGUGUAAGUAACUAUACACGUCUUGACGGUACCUAAUCAGAAAGCCACGGCUAACUACGUG